ACUGGCUCCAACAGCCAAGAUAACAAGAAGGAGGAGAGACCUCUAAGAGCCAACAAAUCAAGAAGGAAGAAAGACCUGUACAAGAAUCAGAAUGGCGACAUUUACUCCAAGUAAACUACCACCUGCAUGUGGCAAAUUGUCACAUGAUGUGAGAAGGAAGUUGGUCCUGCUAAAUUAUCAAAUGCACGAUCCUGGUCUCACGGCCCUGGAGAAGUCAGAGCUGUUUCUUGAUUACAGCUUUGAGUUUUUACAAAAGUAUGAGAGUGUCAUAUGUCACACAAGAUGUCAAGAG